rnacentral:rRNA from 1 species
CCUACGGGAGGCAGCAGUGGGGAAUUUUGGACAAUGGGCGCAAGCCUGAUCCAGCCAUUCCGCGUGAGUGAAGAAGGCCUUCGGGUUGUAAAGCUCUUUCGCAAGGGAAGAAACGAUUUAGGUGAAUAAUCUAAGUUAAUGACGGUACCUUGAUAAGAAGCACCGGCUAACUACGUGCCAGCAGCCGCGGUAAUACGUAGGGUGCGAGCGUUAAUCGGAAUUACUGGGCGUAAAGCGUGCGCAGGCUGUUUUGUAAGUCAGAUGUGAAAUCCCCGAGCUCAACUUGGGAACUGCGUUUGAAACUACAAGACUAGAAUAUGUCAGAGGGGGGUAGAAUUCCACGUGUAGCAGUGAAAUGCGUAGAGAUGUGGAGGAAUAUCAAUGGCGAAGGCAGCCCCCUGGGAUAAUAUUGACGCUCAUGCACGAAAGCGUGGGGAGCAAACAGGAUUAGAUACCCUGGUAGUCCACGCCCUAAACGAUGUCAACUAGUUGUUGGUAGAGUAAAAUCUAUGAGUAACGCAGCUAACGCGUGAAGUUGACCGCCUGGGGGUAAGGUAGUAGUUCGCGAGAAGUUAAACGUUAACGAAGAGUUAGUAGGACGNGAGAGAGCGACGACGACGACGACGGAGGAGGAGG